rnacentral:misc_RNA from 1 species
AGAUUCUUCUGCCUUAAUUCCUCUUUACUAGGAAUUUGAACAAGAGAUACCCUGGCUGGUUGGUUACCACCAGCAAGUUCAGGAACAAAAAGCGCCAGAAUAGGAUCAGUUGGUGACCAACUGAAGUCCAUGACAUUUUCAACCUUAAGAGACUUCUUGUCAAUAAGACUAAAGAUCUCAGUUUCGUAGACAGAGAUCAUGUUUUUCCCAAUUUUCGCAAAAUACUUGUCAUCUUUUCCACCACCCCACCUGAAAAUGGGCCAAGAUACCCCUGCAACACCACCAGUUCCUCCAAUUGCAAAUUCAUCAGCACUCCCCCUGAAAUCCCUCAUCACUUUCCCAGUUCU